rnacentral:rRNA from 1 species
UGGCUCAGAUUGAACGCUGGCGGCAGGCCUAACACAUGCAAGUCGAACGGUAGCAGGAUGUGCUUGCACAUCGCUGACGAGUGGCGGACGGGUGAGUAAUGCUUGGGAACUUGCCUUUGCGAGGGGGAUAACAGUUGGAAACGACUGCUAAUACCGCAUAACGUCUACGGACCAAACGGGGCUUAGGCUCCGGCGCAGAGAGAGGCCCAAGUGAGAUUAGCUAGUUGGUGAGGUAAAGGCUCACCAAGGCGACGAUCUCUAGCUGUUCUGAGAGGAAGAUCAGCCACACUGGGACUGAGACACGGCCCAGACUCCUACGGGAGGCAGCAGUGGGGAAUAUUGCACAAUGGGGGAAACCCUGAUGCAGCCAUGCCGCGUGUGUGAAGAAGGCCUUCGGGUUGUAAAGCACUUUCAGUUGUGAGGAAAAGUGAGUAGUUAAUACC